UACGUAGGGUGCGAGCGUUGUCCGGAAUUAUUGGGCGUAAAGAGCUUGUAGGCGGUUUGUCGCGUCUGCCGUGAAAAUCCGGGGCUCAACCCCGGACUUGCGGUGGGUACGGGCAGGCUAGAGUGUGGUAGGGGAGACUGGAAUUCCUGGUGUAGCGGUGAAAUGCGCAGAUAUCAGGAGGAACACCGAUGGCGAAGGCAGGUCUCUGGGCCACUACUGACGCUGAGAAGCGAAAGCGUGGGGAGCGAACAGG
rnacentral:rRNA from 1 species